rnacentral:rRNA from 1 species
UACAGAGGGUGCAAGCGUUAAUCGGAAUUACUGGGCGUAAAGCGUGCGUAGACGGUUAUGUAAGUCAGGUGUGAAAGUCCAGGGCUCAACCCUGGGAUGCCGGUCGAUACUGCCGGACUAGAGUUCGGAAGAGGCGAGUGGAAUUCCCGGUGUAGCGGUGAAAUGCGCAGAUAUCGGGGAGGAACACCUAUGGCGAAGGCAGCUCGCUGGGACGUUACUGACGCUGGAGGAGCGAAAGCAUGGGGAGCGAACAGG